rnacentral:rRNA from 1 species
CUCGUAGGCGGCCAACUAAGUCAGACGUGAAGUCCCUAGGCUCAACCUAGGAACUGCGUCUGAUACUGGAUGGCUUGAAUCCGGGAGAGGGAUGCAGAAUUCCAGGUGUAGCGGUGAAAUGCGUAGAUAUCUGGAGGAAUACCGGUGGCGAAGGCGGCAUCCUGGACCGGCAUUGACGCUGAGGAGCGAAAGCCAGGGGAGCAAACG